AUUGAACGCUGGCGGCAUGCCUUACACAUGCAAGUCGAACGGCAGCACGGGAGCAAUCCUGGUGGCGAGUGGCGAACGGGUGAGUAAUAUAUCGGAACGUGCCCAGUAAUGGGGGAUAGCCCGGCGAAAGCCGGAUUAAUACCGCAUACGACCUACGGGUGAAAGCGGGGGAUCGCAAGACCUCGCGUUAUUGGAGCGGCCGAUAUCAGAUUAGCUUGUUGGCGGGGUAAAAGCCCACCAAGGCGACGAUCUGUAGCUGGUCUGAGAGGACGACCAGCCACACUGGGACUGAGACACGGCCCAGACUCCUACGGGAGGCAGCAGUGGGGAAUUUUGGACAAUGGGCGCAAGCCUGAUCCAGCCAUGCCGCGUGUGGGAAGAAGGCCU
rnacentral:rRNA from 1 species